rnacentral:rRNA from 1 species
UACAGAGGUCUCGAGCGUUAGGCGGAAUCACUGGGCUUAAAGCGUGUGUAGGCGGAUCGUUAAGUGCCUUGUGAAAUCCCACGGCUCAACCGUGGAACUGCUCGGCAUACUGGCGGUCUUGAGCAACCUAGGGGCGAGCGGAACAAAUGGUGGAGCGGUGAAAUGCGUAGAUAUCAUUUGGAACGCCAAUGGUGAAAACAGCUCGCUGGGGGUUUGCUGACGCUGAGACACGAAAGCCAGGGGAGCAAACGGG